rnacentral:lncRNA from 1 species
UUCGGGGCUAGUUGAUUCGGCAGGUGAGUUGUUACACACUCCUUAGCGGAUUUCGACUUCCAUGACCACCGUCCUGCUGUCUUAAUCGACCAACACCCUUUGUGGGUUCUAGGUUAGCGCGAAGUUGGGCACCGUAUCCCGGCUUCCGGUUCAUCCCGCAUCGCCAGUUCUGCUUACCAAAAAUGGCCCACUUGGAGCACCCGAUUACGUGGCACGGCUCACCGAAGCAGCCGCGCCAUCCUACCUAUUUAAAGUUUUAGAAUAGGUCGAGGACGUUGCGUCCCCAAUGCCUCGAAUCAUUGGCGUUACCUGAUAGAACUCGUAAUGGGCUCCAGCUAUCCUGAGGGAAACUUCGGAGGGAACCGGAUACUAGAUGGUUCGAUUAGUCUUUCGCCCCUAUACCCAUGUCAGACGAACGAUUUGCACGUUAGUAUCGCUUCGAGCCUACACCAGAGUUUCCUCUGGCUUUGCCCCGCUCAGGCAUAAUUCACCAUCUAUCGUGUCCCGACAGGCGUGCUCCAACUCGAACCCUUCACAGAAGAUCAGGGUCGGCCAGCGGUGCGGCCCGUGAGGGCCUCCCGCUCGUCAGCUUCCUUCCGCAUCCCAGGUUUCAGAACCCGUCGACUCGCAUGCAUGUCAGACUCCUUGGUCCAUGUUUCAAGACGGGUCGGAAGGGGAGCCCGCAGGCCAUUGCAGCGCAGUGCCCCGAGGGACACGCCUUUCGGCGCGCGGGUACCAGCCGUGUCGACGACCGCCACCGGGGGCACCUAGUGUCGGUGUCAAAACCGGCGAAUCUCGGGUAGGGGGUCCCAAGCUGUGUGUCAUGGAUCAAUGGGUAAUGGGAGGCGGGGGACACAAUGUUUACCCAGUUUCGGGCCCCCUCGAUGGAGGUAAUACCCUACUUCCUGCUUGAUUGAUCUUGAUGAUAUGAGUAUUACAAGAGUUGAUCUACCACCAGAUCGUAGAGGCUAAACCCUAGAAGCUAGCCUAUGAUUAUGAUUGUUGUAUAUAUCUAUCGACUAGCCUGGCCUCGGUUUAUAUAAUGCACCAGAGGCCUAGGAUGACAAGAGUCCUAGCCGAAUACGCCGGUGGGGAGGAGUCCUUGUCUUGAUCACCAAGUCUUGUGGAAUCUUCCUUGUAUGCGGCAACUGUCCAAACUGGCCCAUGAGUAUACGGCCAUGGGGGUCCUCGGCCCAAUCUAACUGAUCGGGAAACGACAUGGUGAGUACCCCUAGUCCAGGACACCGUCAGUAGCCCCCUAAACUGGUCUUCAAGUUGGGGACGCUCCUCGAUUCUUCCGCAUUGUUCUUCAUCUUCGUUCUUUGGUCUUGAAAACUGGUUCAACAAAUCUGCUCAUCUUCGAUCUUGAGAAUCACCAAAGUAAAUCCGAAGAGUUUACACGUCGGGUAUCCGAGGAGCCCCUUUAAGUUCUCGGCCUUUAUCAAUGCCUUGUUAUUUUUAUGCCACACCUCGGGUUUGAAGUUGUUCCCGGGCGGCAUUGUACUCUUGCGUCCGAGCUCCAACGCCGGACUGCUUCCGAGCUCCAACGCCGGAAUGUAUCCAGGAUCCAACGCCGGACUGUGUCCAAGCUCCAACGCCGGACUAUAUCCGAGCUCCAAUGCCGGAUUAUAUCCGAGGUGUCAUAGAUCACCUUGGUUGAAAUUUUUUGAAAGAGUUUAGCUAAGCUUAAUACCGGAAAUGCCCUCUAUGGAGCCAGCCACUGGCGCCCGAGCUUUAUGCCGGACUGCUUCCGAGGUGGUGCACCACCUUGGCCACGGGCUGAUUUUUAUGAAUUUAAUUCCGAAUUGUGCAAUGUAAUCUCUGACGAGAUGUAUAGCUAGUAGCCCUCAAGGUGCAUGUUGGCCUAAUAUCCGGGAUGAACCGAAAGGAUAAAAUCAAACCGCUGACCCCAGUAGCCCCUGAGACUCAGGUCGAUUCAUGAAAUCGGCCUAAGGAUCAAUUCCCAGCUCGGUGGCAUACUUAGGAAUAGAAACGCGGUGUAAUAUAUUAGGGAAAAUAGUGAUCGGCGAACAGGCCCUUGAUAGAGGGUCUUGAGAAGUCGUCGUAAUAUGUUAGCUUGAUGCCGGAUAGGUGCAGAUGGUACCUAUUAUUGUCCGAAGACGCGCUUGCGCAUAGUUCGGUCAAGCCGAACAUUGAGCACUGCAAAUUUUCUGCAUUGAAUAGGCAAUGCCAUAGCCCCCGAGACACAGCUGGUCGGGUGGCAACACCAGAUCAGGGGAUCGACGUACCCCUUUAAUAUUUGUAAAUGAUAAGCAGAAGCCCAGUAGGCACCGAGCCUUAAUGUGGGCACGGGUAGCCGAAUUAAGGAUCGAUAUCCAGAGUAAAAUCACAAAGUAUGUGUAAUGUUCUAUGUAUCCAAGUACUCUACAUCAUUAAUGCUCAGAUCCGCAUUGUAAAAAACUUUGUUGACCGACCAUCGGCUUCCACCUCCUUGGCCAACAGCCGAGGAGUGUUUGUCCUACUUUAUAAAGCCUUUAUGAGGGCAAAGACUUACGGCAAACAAGGCAAUCCGGCCAUACGGCUUUAUAAACAAAGGUACGCGGAGAGAUAUGUUAUAUUUCUUUUUAACGUAAGAAACAUCUUCCAAAGAAAAUAGUCCCACUAUCGGUUCCUUUCUUUGGGUUGUCAUGCUAAGCAUGAUCAUGAAACCUCAGCUCCGAUCAAUGUGGGAGGAAAAUAUUGAGGAUUUAGUUCGGGAAAAGAUCCCGAACUCUAUGGUAUUAAUGAACCAAAAAUUUUACUUCCGUCAUUGCCGACCACUGUGAUCCUUUAAGAUUGCUAGCUUUCGGCUUCACCCAGUCUGAGGUACUAACUCGGAUGACCCGGUAGUAACAAUAACAGAGGUGCUCCCUUUACCGCCUAGCCGAACAAUCGGGAACGUAGGGGUAAGCACAGGAGCCAGGCAACCCAACUUGGCCAAAAUCUUAAGUCAAAUUGAUGCAUAUUUAUGGCUUUAUAACGAUAAGUACGGAAGGAAACGCUUGUAUAAUGAAUACAAAUGCUGAUGAUAUAUACUUAUUUUGACUUCAUUGCGACUAUUUAUCAGUUGAAAGUGGCCCAUCGUCGGCUUCUACCCCUUUGUAGAUACUACGCAUGGUGUUUUUGCAAUAACCAGACAACCCUUAGCCGACGUCUCGGUGCCCAGAGGCGGUUGUGUUAGCGGAAACGAGGCAAUCAGAUAUCUUUGGCUUUAUAACUUUCACUUAGUCAUAGGAGCUUUAAACUGGGGAAGCUAGCUACGAGCCCCCGGUUAGUGUUCGGCGACAGCUGAGGUCAAGCCGUAAACACUUCGGCCAAUGUUAUGAACGGCCCAUCAUUUAACACGGUUAUCGGAUCGCUGACCAGUUUGCGCUUAUUGUGACAGUCAGUUUUUGGCUUUCUCCACUAAGGUGCUUAACCAUGUGAGCUAGAAGCACAAUCGCAGUGGUUCUCCCGUUGCACACCUAGCCGAACAAAGCGGAACAUAGGAGUCAAGCACAGGAGCCGGGCAGCCCAACUAUUGACCGAAGACACAAUUCGAGACCGAUGCAUAUAUAGCAACAUCCGAGAAUGUUUUUGCCGAAUCUCUAAUGAUGUCCGGCAUUGCACUGCGAGACUUAUGUUGGAAACACACAAAUAGUUUAAAUGUGCCAAAAGCUUGGACAACCAAAAAAGUCAAUUAAAACAUGACGUCCGAAAAAGAUCAAGUGUUCGGUGCCAAUCCGAGAAUUCGAAAAAAAUUGUGCUUCUGUUGUGCUUUAACAUGACAAAUCCGAUCUCAAGACUUCGGGUCAAAAAAGGAGCGGUAGAAAAAGACUUUGCCACGACCAAGAAGAAAACACAUUUACUAUAAAACAACUCAUAUAAAUUGAAGAGCCCCCAAGUGACUUGGGUAAAAGAAUUUUAUGUAUAAUGAUUGUAUGUAUCGAAGUACUUAUAUCAUAUACGUGUGUUCACCCGAACUUUAUACGCGUCUUAACCGACCGUCAGCUUCUCCCUCUUCGGUCAAGGACCAAAAAGUGUUAUGUACUCCACCUGUCGAGAAUAUCGACGGUGUUUCCGAUAACCUGGCAAUCAGGCCAUAAGGCUGUAAUAGACAAAGCGCGCUCAGGGAACUUAUGCCAUACUAGACAAAGUGUAAGAAGCAUCUUCGAAGAAAAGAGUACCCCCACCGAUACCUUUCUUCGGUUGCUCAUUAUUACUAUGAGACUUGUGCAAUAGAUUUUUUGUACUCAUGAGUUCCGUUGUGUGCCGACCAUUAUUGAAAACAGUAAGAGCGCUAGCUUUCGGCUUCACCCAGUCUGAGGUCCGGCACAGAUGACCCAAUCGUGACAAUCGCAGUUGUGCUCCCUUUACUCCCUAGCCGAACAAUCGGGAACGUAGAGGUAAACACAGGAGCAAGGCAACCCAGCUUGCAAAUCGCUUAGGUCAAUAUGGUGCAUAUUGUGGCGUAAUACACGAACAAGGAACGAAGCCGUACAAGUAUAAUCAUAUGCAAGAGGAAAAUCUCCAUCAAGGGACCCCCCAAAUAAAAAGGGGAUUUGAGUAUGUGUGUCACAAACAAAGUUAUGACAAGGAAUUUUACACAAACAACUUUUUUCAAAAAAGUAUAAUGCUUGGUCGAACCGAACGCAGGUUAAAAAUUUAAAGCUUUGAGCAUGAAAGCGACUUAGCUGGUUAAUGCGUUCGGCAUUGAUGACAUGGCCCGAGCUUGAUGCGGUACAAGGUUCCAUCCCCCAAGCCAGUCCCGAGGUGGCGGAGCGAAGAGCUCGGCACUCCGAAGUGGUUACAUUGCACGGCCAAUGUAGGCCGGCAGAGUGACGUCGAAGAGACCACGUGACGCAGUCAAAGUCCAUUACCUGCACAUGUAAAAUAGUGCAGGCCAACAAUAAUAAUAUAAAUAUAUAAAAAUCCUUGCAUUAUUAAUUUACGCAAAAUAAAAUGGAUGUGGCCUGGCGCCAAAGCCAAUGUCGAUGCAGGGCAUCGGCAUGACACAGUGAAGGCGUGACAAAGCUUGAGUUUGCAGGGCGGUCCGGGUUCCGGAGGCGUUCUUCGCCGAACUAUAUACGGAAACCGACUGAACCACCACGCGACCGUCGUUAAUGUGGCUAUCAUUUGACAUACUGUGUACAGAUGAUGGACCAAACCAGAAUCAUAAUUCUUCGGAAAAGUAAACCCAAGCAAGAAGAAAUUACUAGGAUUAAUAGCACCUGGUUUAUCUGUUGUAGCAGUCCGAAGAAAAGCGACUCCCAAAAUUGGGAAUCGAUCCGCAUACCCAUUGCCUGAUGAGCGAUAAAGCGACGGCAUGGCGAAGCCCUCGGUCCAGCUAACGUGACGAAGCUGGUCGGCUGGUGACACCGAAGUCACCGGAGUAUGUUGGCGAAGAAAUAGCCAAGUCCCCAGUCUAGCCGACGUGACGGAGCAGGUCGGUGAGGAGUCGUUGCAGCCGCCAUGUCAGCCGAGGUGUUGAGGUAUUUCGGCGUGAUGGACAUCGGCUCGAAGAAGCAACAAUGCGGCCAUGCUGACGCAUGCCGUAACUUAUGACGCGGCCAAUGCUGGUUUGAUGAAGUGACCAUGCGGCGAUGCCGGUGUGCCCGCUCCGUGUAAUCUGCGGGGCGGCGAUGUUGGUGAUGAUUUACCUUUGGCGAUUCCGAACUCUUGCUCGGCUCGCCGAGGUGAGGAUUCGAAGAAGUUGAGGUCGGCUCAAAAAGCGACGACAUGUCUAGCGCAGGUCGGCAGCCGUGGAGCUAUAUUGCCGGACUAGUUUGACACCAGCGUGAUGGCGAAGAUUACCUCAGAGGAGGCUUAAAAUUUUAUGGGCACGUGUUAAGAACAAUGCGCAAUACCUUAGAAUAAAAUUCCAUUGAAAAUGUUGUCCAAUAUCACGUUCAUAGAGAAACAUGUAUUCGGAUCGGAUCCGUAUUCGCGCAGAAAAUAGAUCUGAAAAGUGAUGCACUAAUCGGAAGGUUCCCGGAGUUUGGACGGUCGGGUCGAGCUGAAAUUUUGAGGGGUGGUAGAUAUGGGAAUUCCGCAGCGAAUGAACGGUUGGAUCUUCCAAGGGACUCGAGCUGGGCUCUGGAGACCACGCCCUAAACUCGAUUCCCGUCUGGAUUUGAUAGGGCUCCGGUAUAUCAUAGAUUGUCAGAGAUUCCUCCAUCGGAACUCGACGAAAUUUUGCAGGGUUGUUGUAGACUCAAUUCCGCAAAAUUCCACCGAAGUGAUCGUUAAAACGACACUCGAGGAGGCGGUGGCAGCGGAUACGAGUUUGCUGUCCAAAAAAACAGCACGGUCACCCAAGGGCAAUGUUGACAUUGAGCCCCCGAACUCCAUGGAUGAUUCCUCCAUGAUCUUGAUAGAGAUUGGAGUUGGUGUUGAUGAAGGCCCUCGUCCAAAUAUGACAAUCCGAGGCAGGGCACAGUCCUCGGUCAAGCCAAGUUGACCAGUCGAGCCGGUGACAAAGAUGUCGACGUCGCAGUUAAUCUGCAGACGAGCCAUCGAUACUUUUGCCGAUCACACAACGGAACCCUCAAUGAAAGCACCAAUGUCGGUGUCUAAACUGGUGGAUCUCGGGUAGGGGGUCCCAAGCUGUGUGUCAUGGAUCGAUGGGUAACAAGAGGCGGGGGACACAAUGUUUACCCAGGUUUGGGCCCUCUCGAUGGAGGUAAUACCCUACUUCCUGCUUGAUUGAUCUUGAUGAUAUGAGUAUUACAAGAGUUGAUCUACCACGAGAUCGUAGAGGCUAAACCCUAGAAGCUAGCCUGUGAUUAUGAUUGUUGUAUAUAUCUAUCGACUAGCCUAGCCUCAGUUUAUAUAAUGCACCAGAGACCUAGGAUGACAAGAGUCCUAGCCGAAUACGCCGGUGGGGAGGAGUCGUUGUCUUUAUCACCAAGUCUUGCGGAAUCUUCCUUGUAUGCGGCAACUAUCCAAACUGGCCCAUGAGUAUACGGCCAUGGGGUUCCUCGGCCCAAUCUAACUGAUCGGGGGACGACGUGGUGAGUACCCCCUAGUCCAGGACACCGUCACCUAGGGUCCCCGGCCUUUGGCCGCCGGCGCGGUCGACAACUGUCCACACCCCGAGCCGAGCGGCGGACCAGCUAGAGUCGUUCCGCAUACGGCCGGGGCGCAUCGCCGGCGCCCAUCCGCUUCCCUCCCGGCAAUUUCAAGCACUCUUUGACUCUCUUUUCAAAGUCCUUUUCAUCUUUCCCUCGCGGUACUUGUUCGCUAUCGGUCUCUCGCCUGUAUUUAGCCUUGGACGGAGUCUACCGAUUGAUUUGGGCUGCAUUCCCAAACAACCCGACUCGUUGACGGCGCCUCGUGGGGCGAUAGGGUCCGGGCCGGACGGGGCUCUCACCCUCCGAGGCGCCCCUUUCCAGGGGACAUGGGCCCGGUUCGUCGUUGAGGACGCCUCUCCAUACUACAAUUCGGACGGCACAGUCGCACGAUUCUCAAGCUGGGCUGCUCCCGGUUGCUCGCCAUUACUUGGGGAAUCCUUCUAAGUUU